rnacentral:rRNA from 1 species
UGGGGAAUAUUGCACAAUGGGCGAAAGCCUGAUGCAGCAACGCCGCGUGAGUGAUGAAGGUCUUCGGAUUGUAAAGCUCUGUCUUUUGGGACGAUAAUGACGGUACCAAAGGAGGAAGCCACGGCUAACUACGUGCCAGCAGCCGCGGUAAUACGUAGGUGGCGAGCGUUGUCCGGAUUUACUGGGCGUAAAGGGUGCGUAGGCGGAUGUUUAAGUGAGAUGUGAAAUACCCGGGCUUAACUUGGGUGCUGCAUUUCAAACUGGAUAUCUAGAGUGCAGGAGAGGAGAAUGGAAUUCCUAGUGUAGCGGUGAAAUGCGUAGAGAUUAGGAAGAACACCAGUGGCGAAGGCGAUUCUCUGGACUGUAACUGACGCUGAGGCACGAAAAGCGUGGGUAGCAAACAGGAUUAGAUACCCUGGUAGUCCACGCCGUAAAACGAUGAGUACUAGGUGUAGGAGGUAUCGACCCCUUCUGUGCCGCAGUAAAACACAUUAAGUACUCCGCCUGGGAAGUACGAUCGCAAGAUUAAAAAC